rnacentral:rRNA from 1 species
GGUAAAAGAUUUAUUGUCUGAAGAUGAGCUCGCGUCAGAUUAGCUAGUUGGAGUGGUAACGGCACACCAAGGCGACGAUCUGUAUUUGGUCUGAGAGGAUGACCAGACACACUGGGACUGAGACACGGCCCAGACUCCUACGGGAGGCAGCAGUGGGGAAUUUUCCGCAAUGGGCGAAAGCCUGACGGAGCAAUACCGCGUGCGGGAGGAAGCUUUUUGGAGUGUAAACCGCUUUUCUCUGGGAAGAUAAUGACGGUACCAGAGGAAUCAGCAUCGGCUAACUUCGUGCCAGCAGCCGCGGUAAUACGAGGGAUGCAAGCGUUAUCCGGAAUUAUUGGGCGUAAAGCGUUCGUAGGUGGCUAGAUAAGUCUGUCGUCAAAGCAUGGAGCUUAACUCCAUUAAGGCGAUGGAAACUGUUUGGCUAGAGUGUGGUAGGGGUAACAGGAAUUCCCAGUGUAGCGGUGAAAUGCGUAGAUAUUGGGAAGAACACCAGCGG